CAGCAGUGAGGAAUUUUGCGCAAUGGGGGCAACCCUGAUCCAGCAAUGCCGCGUGUGUGAAGAAGGCCUGCGGGUUGUAAAGCACUUUCGGCCGGGAAGAUUGCCAUCGGAAUUAAUACCCCCGAUGGUUGACGUUACCGGCAUAAGAAGCACCGGCUAACUCCGUG
rnacentral:rRNA from 1 species